CCUGGCGGCAGUAGCGCGGUGGUCCCACCUGACCCCAUGCCGAACUCAGAAGUGAAACGCCGUAGCGCCGAUGGUAGUGUGGGGUCUCCCCGUGCGAGAGUAGGGAACUGCCAGGC
rnacentral:rRNA from 1 species